rnacentral:rRNA from 1 species
UACGGGGGGGGCAAGCGUUGUCCGGAUUCAUUGGGCGUAAAGAGCGUGUAGGCGGCCAGGUAGGUCGGUUGUGAAAACUGGAGGCUCAACCUUCAGAGGUCGACCGAAACCAUCUGGCUAGAGUCCGGGAGAGGAGAGUGGAAUUCCUGGUGUAGCGGUGAAAUGCGUAGAGAUCGGGAAGAACAUCGGUGGCGAAGGCGCUCUACUGGACCACAACUGACACUCAGGGACGAAAGCUAGGGGAGCGAAUGGG